rnacentral:rRNA from 1 species
AUAUGAAUUGCUUAAUUGCACCACAUGUGUUUUUCUUUGAAACAAACUUGCUUUGGCGGUGGGCCCAGCCUGCCGCCAGAGGUCUAAACUUACAACCAAUUUUUUAUCAACUUGUCACACCAGAUUAUUACUAAUAGUCAAAACUUUCAACAACGGAUCUCUUGGUUCUCGCAUCGAUGAAGAACGCAGCGAAAUGCGAUACGUAAUAUGAAUUGCAGAUAUUCGUGAAUCAUCGAAUCUUUGAACGCACAUUGCGCCCUCUGGUAUUCCGGAGGGCAUGCCUGUUUGAGCGUCGUUUCUCCCUCAAACCGCUGGGUUUGGUGUUGAGCAAUACGACUUGGGUUUGCUUGAAAGACGGUAGUGGUAAGGCGGGAUCGCUUUGACAAUGGCUUAGGUCUAACCAAAAACAUUGCUUGCGGCGGUAACGUCUACCACGUAUAUCUUCAAACUUUGACCUCAAAUCAGGUAGGACUACCCGCUGAACUUAAGCAUAUCAAUAAGCGGAGGAA